GGAGUAGUUAUUUAGUGCAGUUGGUUUUGCAAAAAUACAUGUAAUAAAUGCUUGCAUUAAAACGUUUAACAAAAACAUUACUAAUAGUGAAUUACUCGAGAAACAAUAACAUUGAAGGAUCGUUCAAAUUCUUAAAUGACAAAAAAGCUAGGCGUUCGAAUGUUGACUGUCACUACCAAAACUGGGACAUUUGCACAAAUGGCCUUUUUGGUGCUCCCUUUCUUACCUUCUUGUUUUCCUCAGCUUCCCUCGUUGCUUCCUCCCUUGUAUAGAAUUUUUCCAUAUCAAUUUUACGUAUGUCACCUCUUUAGAAUGCAACCUUUUUACUUGCUAGUCUACUAUUGACUACUAGUUUCUCAUAAGAUAGAUUUUCAUCUAGCUGCAUAGAGUAUAGUCGGUAUAUUAAGGUAAGUUAUCUAUAUCAUACCCCUUAGGGUACUUCAAACUCUACGUGAAUGUUAAAUACCUUAUGCAUCAGGCUGCUCUUUUGUUUUUUGCAUAGUUGGCAUCAUGCACGUGAUAGGAUGAAUUUAACAUAUACUUUAAUAACAUAAAUACAUGAAAUACCGAAUAUAGAAGCACAACUUUUCAACUUUCCUAGAUAUUAAAAAGGUUUCACAUAUAUCAAUAUCUAUUCCAAUUCUACAAAGUUAAGACUACAUCUAUUUAGUCACAAGAUGGUACCAUUAGAAAUAACUGCAUAUAUCUGUAAAUUGCACAAAUGGAUGAUUCUACUAGAAUUUGUAAGAAAAGUCUAAUUAAUGAUACAAUUAUAAAAACACAAGGAAAGUGUGAGAUAACAAUGACCAAAAUAAAUACACAGAUUAUUAGGGGCUGGCAGUGAUUGAGAUAGAUGGACAAUUUUUUUCAGAAUCUUGAAAUUUGUGAUCAAAGUUGUAUGUGUACUGUAAUGUAAUGUAUUCUAUCUACCCCCAUUUAUUAUUCAUGUGGCCCUGCUUUCUUACAGCACCAUAAUAAUUAACCCAACUUCCUUUCUACUCAAUACUCACUCAGUCCUUUACCCUUCACACCCCCCACUCAAAACCACUCUAUUUGGAAUGUUGAACAAAUCCUUUUUUGGUAUCAGAAGAUGAAAUACCAGAAAUAGUCAUCUAUUUUUACAUUUAUAUUUAAUGAAAUUUGAAAAAGCAAUUAUUACAUCUCUUCUGUCAGCAACAGUAAAUAUUUUGUAGUAGUACAUGUCUACGAAGAACUAACAAAUAUUUAGGGAAAAAUCCGAUUUCUUUUGCUUUUUUGGGUUGACUAAUUCAUAGGGUAAAAUAAUGGAGAAAAAGAGAAAGGGAGAGAGGGAAGUUUACCAUUGCGCGCAAAGUGUUCACCACAGAGUAUUCACCCGAAGGGCAGAGGCUGUGACAGAGACGGUAGCGAAUGUGGGUUUCCCAUCUUAACCAAAAAAAAAAAAAAA
rnacentral:lncRNA from 1 species